AUACGGAGGAUGCGAGCGUUAUCCGGAUUUAUUGGGUUUAAAGGGAGCGUAGGUGGGAUAUUAAGUCAGCUGUGAAAGUUUGGGGCUCAACCUUAAAAUUGCAGUUGAUACUGGUUUCCUUGAGUACGGUACAGGUGGGCGGAAUUCGUGGUGUAGCGGUGAGAUGCUUAGAUAUCACGAAGAACUCCGAUCGCGAAGGCAGCUCACCGGGCCGGAACUGACACUGAUGCUCGAAAGUGCGGGUAUCAAACAGGAUUAGAUACCCUGGUAGUCCGCACAGUAAACGAUGAAUACUCGCUGUUUGCGAUACACGGUAAGCGGCCAAGCGAAAGCGUUAAGUAUUCCACCUGGGGAGUACGCCGGCAACGGUGAAACUCAAAGGAAUUGACGGGG
rnacentral:rRNA from 1 species